rnacentral:rRNA from 1 species
UACGUAGGGUCCGAGCGUUGUCCGGCGUUCCUGGGCGUAAAGCGCGCGCAGGCGGCUCGUCAAGUCUGGCGUGAAAGCCCCCGGCUCAACCGGGGAGGGUCGUCGGAGACUGGCGAGCUUGAGGGCGGUAGGGGCUGGUGGAAUUCCCGGUGUAGUGGUGAAAUGCGUAGAGAUCGGGAGGAACACCCGUGGCGAAGGCGGCCAGCUGGGCCGUCCCUGACGCUGAGGCGCGAAGGCGUGGGGAGCGAACGGG